GUCAAUGAGUAUUUGCUGAUCCUUCACUUUGUUGUGCUGCUCCACCACGGCCAUCUGCCUUUUGCCAUCAGCUCUAGUUUUAUCUCCCGUCUUUGCUCCAUUUGUAUCUUUUAUGCUGGCCUCCAGUUUGCGAUGUGUUGAUUUUUCAGCAAGGAAAGCACAUGGCGUCGGUCUCCCAGAGAAAGUGGCACGCACCGGGACCACGAGUGUCCCUGAAAUGGGGAAACACUGAGGAGGACAUGGCCAGAGGGUGUAUGAGCCAAGCCUUGAAGCUAUCAGCACAGUGAAGGUAACAGAAACGCAUGGGGGGAACAAAGGCAGAUUACAGAACCCAAAAUGCUCUAAAACUCCAUCACCGCCCACAACUGGAGCGGUAAUCAGGAACGAACGCAGUCAAAGAUGAGCUGAGGAGGAACUGUGCUUCUCUGCAUCCCACAGAGUUUGGAGGCACAGUGGGGAAAGGAGCCAAACUGCUGUCUGAAGCCUCUGCAGACUGCCGCUCUGUGGCUCCAUGCAUCUGGCAAGCAGAGACGCUUUAAAACACAAAACCCAUUUCAGCAAACUGAGGGGGAGGCAACAGAAGAAAAAAAAAAAAAUGCCACAGGAAGGAACGACUGUGCAGAACGCCCAUGGACAAGAUAAUGAAGACAGAGAGAGGGGGAUUCAUUAGAAUGUUCAUUAGGGAUUCAUCCGUCCAUGUAUGAUCAGCCUCAUAAACGGAUAAGUUACAAGCCUGAAAUAGAUUUUCUCUUUUCAUAACUGAUAUGCAUCAUACAAUUAAGCAAUGAAAAUGUAGUUGUUUAAUUUUACUGCAAUAAAAGCCCCAUCAUACAACAAACACGAGCAACUUGCAGUUUUCAAGUUGGCAUCGUUCCAGGAAACAGAUUUGAUUAAGGGUUGUACGAUAUGAAAAUUUGGUCCGAUUAUUGAUAUCUGAUAUUAGUAUUGCUGUUAUGGCCAAUAAAUAUUUACCGGUAUUAUAUAAAAGUUUCCUUAAUCUUUCAACAGCGAAUAAACGAUCACAGCACUGACAUUUUCUCUCUGCUACUG